CAGCCGCCACGGUAAUACGGAGGGAGCUAGCGUUGUUCGGAAUUACUGGGCGUAAAGCGCGCGUAGGCGGUUACUCAAGUCAGAGGUGAAAGCCCGGGGCUCAACCCCGGAACUGCCUUUGAAACUAGGUGACUAGAAUCUUGGAGAGGUCAGUGGAAUUCCGAGUGUAGAGGUGAAAUUCGUAGAUAUUCGGAAGAACACCAGUGGCGAAGGCGACUGACUGGACAAGUAUUGACGCUGAGGUGCGAAAGCGUGGGGAGCAAACAGGAUUAGAUACCCCGGUAGUCCUUGUCUCUUAUAC
rnacentral:rRNA from 1 species